rnacentral:misc_RNA from 1 species
UUGAUCUCUCACUGCAGAAGGCAAUUUUGUCAGUAGAGAUAAAGAGCAUUCCAGCAAUAGGGCCUGCUGUAGUUGACAAAUAACACUGACAAGCCUUCAGCAAUCUCUCUCCUUCCCUAACGGUAAAAAACUGUCGAAACACUUUCUUCACUCCUCCUACUUGGAGAAUUCUAGCUCCCAAGCUGAGCUUCCCCAUAAGAGUUUCAGUGAUCUUGCUCCCCAGUCUCACUGCAAUCACACGAAAAUGAGAUGAAUUUAGCUAUUAUCAAUUGUUCAUUGAGUUUCUCACAUUACAAGGGAAUACUGCGAUCAUCUUACCAUGCUCUCGGAUUCCAUGUGCAAAUUUGUCAGCUUUUUUCCCCAGCUUGUUCAUUCUUUUAAGCACCGAGUCUACUUUGUCUGCAAUAUUAGCACCAGCUGAUUAGUAAAAUGCCAUCAUCUGCUUAAAAAGGGAAGAUCAAGAUAGUGAGGAGAAGAGUGGUACCUUGCUUGACUGUGAGAGAUUUAUUUGUAGGAGUUGGAACAUAGCAUUGGGUAGCAUUUUCAAGUAAAAGUCUAGGCAUUUUCUGAACUGGUUUUGUUGCAGAUAUGAUUGGAACUCCAAUAACCUGUUCCUGAGACAAAUUCUUCAUAUUUGAUUAACAGG